CGGGGCCCGAACUCACAAACCAUGAGAUCAUGACCUGAGCCGAAGUCGGACGCUCAACCGACUGAGCCACCCAGUCGCCCCUCAUGUAGCACAUUUCUAAAUGAUACGUCUGAGUUAUUUCAAUAUCUCGAAAACAUUAACGACGAUGAUCAUGAAAAUGGCGGUUACCAUUUGUUGAGCCUUUGGAACGUACCAGAUUCUGGAUCAAACUUUAUGAAACUCUUGUGAGGUGUGUAUUCUUAUCUCUCUUUUGCAGAAAAACAAAAAUAACCAAGGUCCAGUCAGUCUAAAUGGCUUGCUUGAAGUCACAGAACUAGGGAGGGACAAAUCCUCAUCUCUCUGACCCAGGCCUGAGCUCAUACCCAGCAUGCCACAUCAUUUCCACUGACCAAGGCGCUGGACAUACAGCAGAGAGCUGUGAAGUAGGAGCUCUGCUUGUUCUUUAUGACAGUUUGAUUCAUUUUAUAGUCACUAACUUGACCUUGUUAUGCAAAGGGUAUUUUAAGAGAAAGUAAGCUACAAAAUAACCACAGGUUUCCGCUUACUUAUAAUUUGGUUUAAGUAUUUGAUCCUGUGCUCUUUUUGCUACUUAUCUUUUCCUUCCUUCCUUCCUUCCUUCCUUCCUUCCUUCCUUCCUUCCUUCCCUCCCUCCCUCCCUUUCUUUUUCUUUCUUUCUUUCUUUCUUUCUUUCUUUCUUUCUUUCUUUCUUUCUUUCUUAAUUUCUGUAAUGGCUUUGGGCUUCAACUCAAUACAAGAAGGAUUUAUUAAAUUGCUCUCUAUUUCCAACACUUAUCCUCCAAGUGUCCAUUAUAUUGUAGCAAUAUUUUAGAAGUGUUUAAGGCAAACUUCUAGCUAUCUUAACAUGUCAUCUAAUUUGAGAUAAUAGUAAUACUUUAUUUAUUGAGCAAUUUGUUACUAAUUCAGAACUUCUCUGGGAUGCCUGGGUGGCUCAGUCAAUUGAGUGUCGACUCAUGAUUUUGGCUCAGAUCAUGAUCCCAGGGUUGUGGGAUCAAACCCUGUGAUAAAUAUUCACUACAGAUUCAUCAGCCUCUUCUCUUGUUGAGGUGUCCAGGCUUUUGGCCCUUAUUAGAUCCUACCAAUCCAUUCAUUCAUUCUACAACUAAACACUGGGCACAGAAGUGAACAAAACAGCUAAAAUCCUCAAUUUCAUGGAGUUUAUCCAUUGCAUACAUUCAAGCCAUGCUCAACAAUCUUUACAUACUCCUGGGGUUGGGUAGAGUUUUUCCUCUGGCCACAGAACUUGAGAUUUGGUAAAAACACUCAGCCGGAGACUUUAGGUUAACUAUCCUACAAAUAUUUUUAGUUUGUUACUCUUUUGGUCUUAUUAGUCUAGAUGUAUUUCCCCUUGGAUAAUCUUCGUUCAUAUACAUUUUUUUUUUGCUUUUCCUUUUAUUUUCUUGAAUAACUUCAGCACCCCAUCACUGAUUCCUUCCCCAUCCCAUGCUUUAAUAUUCUUAAGAGCCCUGUCAGGCUUCAUCUUAUAGAUAACAAAAUUAAGCCUCAAAAAAAAUUAAAUAACUUCCUCAAGUCCACACAGGUAGUCAGUGGUAGAUCUGGGAUUUUGAUUCAGAUAUACUGAUUCCAAAAGUUGUAUUACGCAACACAAUUUUAUUCUUGCACUCUAUAAAACAUCAUCCAUGCAUUUACAAUUAAGUAUUUAAUCACAUGGAACUAUGACUUCUCUGAGAUAGUCCUGGACUCUCGGCACAAUCUAAGCUCUAGUGGGUAACAUGUGAAUGAUAAAAACCUAUGUUGUUCCUGGUACUAUUUUCAGCUUAUGAUGCUUCUGAUCCAUUGCAAAAUUUAAUGUUUCUGAUACCAUUCAGUUCCAGAGGGAAAUAAACCAUUUUCAUUAGGAAAUUCUUUGGUCUUCCUUUCAACUCUUCCUACUCUGCACCACUCCCCCAAAUCAGGCAGCAGAAACUUUGUUCUGUAUAUAUCCCUGAAACUUCUGAAUGAAAUUUUGCAAUUUUUGAACAAAAGCACUACCUCUUUUGAUAGUUGUUUAGAACUUACAUAUUUUUCCAGUACUACCUGAAUUGAGGGUAGUGCGAUUUGAAAGGGGCCCUGUGGAAGCAGAAUGAGUGCUCUUUGGAGAAAUACUCAGGGCCACAAAGCACAUGGAAACAGUCCAUGGCUAGGAGCCUGACACCCAAGCCCAAAACAGAACCACAAAAACAAAGAGUGGGGAACAGUAUGGUACAGUGGAAAGAGCAGUACGUGAGAAUCAAGUUACCUGUUUUACCUUAGCAAAGUGACCCCGUUUUUCUGGGCCUGAAGUUUCCUAAUUUAUGAAAUUCGGCAUAUUACACUAGAUAGUGACGAAACUUCAGAAUUACAAGGAGCUUCUUAAAAAACAGAUUACCCGUCCCCACCCAGAGAUUCUGGUUUAGAAGGCCUGAGAUUAGAUUGGAAAUCUCUGUAUUUUAACCAGUUGCCCAAGUAAUUCUAUUGCAGACUUCUGCAGACAGAAAAGAGAUUGCAUGGGAACCACACAUGAUAUUCUGUGCCUCACUGCUUCAGUGGACUUUUGGUGUGAUUCCAUUGGAUCUAUUUUUUCCCCCUUGCUACUUCCUCGUCACAAGAAGAGCAGUGCUGGUAUCCCAGCUGCAAGCCUCUCGUUUAGGAUUCUUGCUGCAGCCAGCAGUGUCCUUGGAGUCUAGUUCAAAGCUGGAGAGAAUGCGCUAUGGAGCCGGGAGCCAUUGGUAGAGGGGCUGGCCUGAAGGAAGUGAAGUGUUUCAGCCAGAAUGUACUGACGCACGACCAGGAAACCACAAGACUGGUGAAAACCUCUCCAAGCUUGAGCCCUGUGAUCAAAAGAGAGUAACUGCCAGUUGCCAUGUAAUAAAUCACAUCAUCAUAUAGCAGAUCCAAUUAAUAGCUGAGACCUGCAAAAUAACUGAACCAUGUCGUCAGAGCUAAAUGGCGGAGAAAUUGGACUGACCAUGAACACAUCACAUUGAUUGCUUAGUAGUGGGGUAUUUUUCCUGGAAAGACAACAGAAUAAAUCUGAACUAUUGAUCCUGUCAUGGGUACAGGCUCCCUUGUAGAGGAAAAUAAAGCAAGUGUGAUGAAUUUUUCA